ACGCUCGACACCUACGGGAGGCAGCAGUGAGGAAUAUUGGUCAAUGGGCGCUAGCCUGAACCAGCCAAGUAGCGUGAAGGAUGAAGGCUCUAUGGGUCGUAAACUUCUUUUAUAUAAGAAUAAAGUGCAGUAUGUAUACUGUUUUGUAUGUAUUAUAUGAAUAAGGAUCGGCUAACUCCGUGCCACAGCCGCGGUAAUCUGAGCGGCGUGGCAAGGC
rnacentral:rRNA from 1 species